rnacentral:rRNA from 1 species
AGCGAACAUUGGCGGUAGGCUUAACACAUGCAAGUCGAGCGAGGCGUAAUAGUCGAGCGGCGAACGGGUGAGUAAUACAUGGGAAUCUACCUCGAAGUGGGGGAUAACAGCCAGAAAUGGCUGCUAAUACCGCAUAAUCCGGGAACGGGAAAGCGCGCUGCGCUUUGAAAUGAGCCCAUGGCUGAUUAGCUAGUUGGUGGGGUAAAGGCCUACCAAGGCGACGAUCAGUAGCUGGUCUGAGAGGAUGAUCAGCCACACUGGAACUGAGACACGGUCCAGACUCCUACGGGAGGCAGCAGUGGGGAAUCUUGCGCAAUGGGGGCAACCCUGACGCAGCCAUACCGCGUGUGCGAUGAAGGUCUUCGGAUUGUAAAGCACUUUCAGUGGGGACGACGAUGACGGUACCCACAGAAGAAGUCACGGCUAACUUCGUGCCAGCCGCCGCCGUAA